rnacentral:rRNA from 1 species
AGCUCCAAUAGCGUAUAUUAAAGUUGUUGCAGUUAAAAAGCUCGUAGUUGAACUUUGGGUCUGGCUGGGCGGUCUUUUCGAAAGAAAUGCACUGCUCUGGCUGGAUCUUUCCUUCUGGAGAACUAUGGUGCUAUUAAUUUAGUGCUUUAGGGACCCAGGACUUUUACUUUGAAAAAAUUAGAGUGUUUAAAGCAGGCUUACGCUUGAAUACAUUAGCAUGGAAUAAUAAAAUAGGACUUUGGUUUUAUUUUGUUGGUUUCUAGGACCAAAGUAAUGAUUAAUAGGGUCAGUUGGGGGCAUUAGUAUUUUAGCGUCAGAGGUGAAAUUCUUGGAUUGCUAAAAGACUAACUUCUGCGAAAGCAUUUGCCAAGGAUGUUUUCAUUAAUCAAGAACGAAAGUA